GCCGCCCAGUCUGGAUGUAGUGCGUUCAUAACCCGGACGCGAACAGCACUGUCAUCUUUCCCCGGGCCGUCUACCAGCAAGAUUAAUGGUGAUCUUUUCUGCUCUGAUUCUAUGGAUUCUGAAGUGCCCGAUGAGGCCACAUAGGAACCAUAAACUCUUCCAUGAAUGGGUCUGCCUGAAAUUUGUUGGUCUUCCAGUGGAAGGAGAUGUCCGUAGGCAAAUAUCGCCAAGAGCACUUUAUGGUGCGGGAAUGCCAUCCUCCUUUAUGGAGGAUGGCUGAAGCUCGGUGUGGCCACCGCAAAGACUCUGUGGGGAGGCACCACAGUCUGGAUCCUUCUGUCACUGGACACAGUGUAACAACCUCGCAAAGGCUGCAUGAAUGUAGUGGUUAAAGUGGAAAUGUGAGUGGCAUUGACUCAUCGUAAGUGAAUGCAUUGAAUUGUUUCGCAGAAUGCAUGAAGAUAAUUACCUGUCCCAGUUAUACACGUAAUGAAUAAAGUGCAUUUGGGGGAAUGAAAAUCUUCACUAUGGCAUUUAUAGCUACAAAGAAAUGAAUGUAAAGGUCAUAUUGAUUAAUGGGUACAGUGUGCAGAGCACUGCAUAAUGUGUCAUGCCCUUGGGAGAUCAGAUACAUACCAUCUCUCGGGGAUACAAUUCCAUUAUCCCAAUCACUUCUUCCUUAUCUCCCUUUACACCUGCCAAUGUCAGCUCUCUCACAGAUUCCUAUCAACUCCCUUGUGUUUCUUUGGUGCUAUUAGCCACUCUGAGGGGUGACUUACAGUAGCCAAACUGGUAUAUUGGGGGAAACCGGAACAUCCAAGAGAAACAGGAAGACACUGGGAGAACGUGCAAACUCCACAUGGACAUUGUCUGCUGCCAGGAUCAAACCCAGGUCUUUAGAGUGACACUAUGACCCCAAACCUUGCUCCACUGUUGUAGUGUAUAUAAUGCUAACUGUAUCUUUAACAAGUGUGUACCAAAUGGGGUUAUUUGUGUCAUGUUAAAUAUUCAUUAUCUUAUCAGUCUUGUGAAUAUGUGUGCGGGUAUGCGCAGUGUACUUUUGUAAAAUAAAGGAAACCCACACUGGCAACAGUUUG